UGCCACAAGCCUUUUGAGUCCCGGAUGCCU
rnacentral:piRNA from 1 species